rnacentral:rRNA from 1 species
GGCGGCGUGCCUAACACAUGCAAGUCGUACGAGAAAGUCGGCUUCGGCCGAUGAGUACAGUGGCGCACGGGUGAGUAGCGCGUGGGUAAUCUGCCCCCCGGUCAGGAAUAAUCCGCCGAAAGGCGGGCUAAUACCCGAUAACACUGACGCUCCGCGGAGCGUCUUUCAAAGAAGGCCUCUGUUUACAAGCUUUCGCCGGAGGAUGAGCCCGCGUACCAUUAGCUAGUUGGCAGGGUAAUGGCCUACCAAGGCUACGAUGGUUAGCUGGUCUGAGAGGAUGGCCAGCCACACUGGAACUGAGACACGGUCCAGACUCCUACGGGAGGCAGCAGUGAGGAAUUUUGCGCAAUGGGCGAAAGCCUGACGCAGCAACGCCGCGUGACUGAUUAAGCUCUGAGGAGUGUAAAAGUCUGUCGUAGAGGAAGAAACUAUCCGAUAAGAAUAUUGUCGGAUACUGACGGUACUCUAUGAGAAAGCUCCGGCUAACUACGUG